rnacentral:rRNA from 1 species
GACGAACGCUGGCGGCGUGCUUAACACAUGCAAGUCGAACGGAAAGGCCCUGCUUUUGUGGGGUGCUCGAGUGGCGAACGGGUGAGUAACACGUGAGUAACCUGCCCUUGACUUUGGGAUAACUUCAGGAAACUGGGGCUAAUACCGGAUAGGAGCUCCUGCUGCAUGGUGGGGGUGGGAAAGUUUCGGCGGGUGGGGAUGGACUCGCGGCUUAUCAGCUUGUUGGUGGGGGAGUGGCUUACCAAGGCUUUGACGGGUCGCCGGCCUGAGAGGGUGACCGGCCACAUUGGGACUGAGAUAGGGCCCAGACUCCUACGGGAGGCAGCAGUGGGGAAUAUUGCACAAUGGGCGGAAGCCGGAUGCAGCAACGCCGGGGGCGGGAUGACGGCCUUCGGGUUGUAAACCGCUUCCGCCUGUGACGAAGCGUUAGUGACGGUAAUGGGUGAAGAAGCACCGGCUAACUACGUG